rnacentral:rRNA from 1 species
AUUGAACGCUGGCGGCAGGCCUAACACAUGCAAGUCGAGCGGAUGAAGGGAGCUUGCUCCUGGCUUCAGCGGCGGACGGGUGAGUAAUGCCUAGGAAUCUGCCUGGUCGUGGGGGCUAACGUCCGGUCACGGGCGCUGAUACCGCAUCCGUCCUGAGGGAGAACCUGGGGGAUCUUCGGACCUCAAGCUAUUAGCUGAGACUAGGUCGGAUUAGCUAGUUGGUGGGGUAAAGGCCUACCAAGGCGACGAUCCGUAACUGGUCUGAGAGGAUGAUCAGACACACUGGAACUGAGACACGGUCCAGACUCCUACGGGAGGCAGCAGUGGGGAAUAUUGGACAAUGGGCGAAAGCCUGAUCCAGCCAUGCCGCGUGUGUGAAGAAGGUCUUCGGAUUGUAAAGCACUGUAAGUUGGGAGGAAGGGCAGUAAGUGAAUACCUUGCUGUUUUGACGUUACCAACAGAAUAAGCACCGGCUAACUUCGUG